rnacentral:rRNA from 1 species
GACGAACGCUGGCGGCGUGCCUAAUACAUGCAAGUCGAACGAAGUGGCGAACGGGUGAGUAAUACGUGGGUAACCUGCCCUCCUUUUUGGGUUAAGCCUUGGAAACAGGGUCUAAUACCGAAUAAAGGGGGUUGGGCUCGCGGCCUAUCAGCUUGUUGGGGGGGUAAUGGCCUACCAAGGCGGUGACGGGUAGCCGGCCUGAGAGGGUGACCGGCCACAUUGGGACUGAGAUACGGCCCAGACUCCUACGGGAGGCAGCAGUGGGGAAUAUUGCACAAUGGGCGAAAGCCUGAUGCAGCGACGCCGCGUGUGUGAAGAAGGUCUUCGGAUUGUAAAGCACUUUAGGUUGGGAGGCGUUACCAACAGAAUAAGCACCGGCUAACUUCGUGCCAGCAGCCGCGGUAAUAC